rnacentral:rRNA from 1 species
UAGUCCACGCCGUAAACGAUGAUAACUAGCUGCUAGGGCCCACAGGGCUUUGGUGGCGCAGCUAACGCAUUAAGUUAUCCGCCUGGGGAGUACGGUCGCAAGAUUAAAACUCAAAGGAAUUGACGGGGGCCUGCACAAGCGGUGGAGCAUGUGGUUUAAUUCGACGCAACGCGCAGAACCUUACCAGCGUUUGACAUCCUAAUCGCGAAUUUCAGAGAUGAUUUUCUUCAGUUCGGCUGGACGAUGUACAGGUGCUGCAUGGCUGUCGUCAGCUCGUGUCGUGAGAUGUUGGGUUAAGUCCCGCAACGAGCGCAACCCUCAUUUUUAGUUGCCAGCAUUUAGUUGGGCACUCUAGAAAACUGCCGGUGCUAAGCCGGAGGAAGGUGGGGAUGACGUCAAGUCCUCAUGGGCCCUUACGGGGUAGGGGCUACACACGUGCUACAAUGGGCGCUGACAGAGGGGUUAAUCCCUAAAAGGGCGUCUCAGUUCGGGAUUGGUCUUCUGCAAC